rnacentral:misc_RNA from 1 species
GUCACGCCCGAAGUCAUUACCCCAACCGAAAGGGGGGGGAUGCCUAAGGUAGGACUGAUGACUGGGGUGAAGUCGUAACAAGGUAGCCGUACCGGAAGGUGUGGCUGGAUCACCUCCUUUUAGGGAGACCUAAUCCAUUUAGAAAUCGAAAACAAUGAAAAUUGUCAAUAGAAACUAAAGUGGUCUAACCUAGGUCGUUCGAGAUUGGUAGAUAUCUUUCAAAGUAUUAUUCGGCUUCGUUCAAAACCAUAUAUAAUAAAUGGAAAAAGACAGCACCUAAUUGUCAAAGUUAGACUGCUGGAUGAAAUUCCAGCCAGAACCUUGAAAACUGCAUAAGAGAACGAGAAAAAGCAGGCAGACACAGACAUUUAGAUGGAUGUGAAAGCAAAAGAAAUUGUGGUCAAGCUAAUAAGGGCUAAUGGUGGAUACCUAGGCACACAGAGG